GAUGUGACCGCUCGCAGGUCGCAGAGCCCCCGCUCUGGCCUCUGCAAGGAGCACGCUUCUAAGAAGAACAAUGCUGUGGCGUACGCAAAGUCCACACAGGUGAUACUAGUUGGGUAUCCUCCAAGGAGGACAACGGUGGCCCAGGUGAACGCCAGUGUGCCGAGGGCGUUGCCCACCCUCUCAACGGAGGCAACAACUUGAACAAAGCAAUUCAGCUGCUCUUCUGGCAUCGCGCUAUGCCAGCUCGCCUCAGGUUGGGCAACUCUCUCUGCUACAUCUACCAGUACAUUCUCUGUUUGUGUCGACAUACUCAUGAAUCAGUUCAGGUUCUUUGAUGUAUCUAUCUGGAAUUCUGUAUAUGCUACGAAGAAUACUGAUGCACUUUCUAAAGUAUACCUCCUGAAGGGGCAGGGUUGUAGGCAAUCAGGAGACAGCUGACACGAGAGCACCGGUUAAUCCAAUGAUGAGUCAGCAGCAACUUCGAUUACUACGCAUGCGAAGUUCCCUUUAUUUGUAUUAUUCUCCCGAUAGAGCUGGAGCAUAGUUUUCUUGACUGACAUGCCAAUGUUCAUCUUCUAGGAAAAUGUCACAGCUGAUGGCAUCUUCCUCUCUAUCUACCUAAGAGUUGUACGCAUUACAGAAAAAAAACAAACGGAAGAGAGUAAACUCCAAACUCCAGAGGUGUUGGAUUUGGUGAUUGGUCAUUGGUUGCGGCGGCGCCGCCGGCCUACCGGGCGUGGAACACCGUACGGCCGGAGAAUGAUUUCCUCGUUGCGCGGCACGAAAUGUACUCUUCCAUUCCUGAAGCUACGGGUACGGUUUCUGCUUAAAGAAUACACUGAAUUCUGCAUGUAUAAAGCCUGAACCCGUAGGUCUUCAGCUACCCGGCAGUGUUCAGAUAAGCAACCCGGAUGAUUGUUUUGGCUUCUGGAUUUAUCAAAUGAAGUCAUUUUGCCUGUUGACUCAGACAUAGGAUUGCUUGACGUACCCAUGAUCAAGUAACAUGUAUAUAUAAAAUCCGAGAAAUGUUAUGUGAUCUAGUCUAAGAGAAUGGUUGAAUGAAGAGGAUCCUCUUAAUUUGGAGAUUAAAAACAAGUUGAUUGAGAUGCAAUCUGAGUGUACGAGAAGCAGUUAUAGAGUUGGCAAUGGUAUGUAAACCUCUGAAAAUGACUGUUGCGUGAAACGGUGAAAGGUUGUCUAUAAAGAUUUUAUUUACUGAUUAUUG
rnacentral:sRNA from 1 species